AACGAACGCUGGCGGCAGGCCUAACACAUGCAAGUCGAACGCUGUAGCAAUACAGAGUGGCAGACGGGUGAGUAACGCGUGGGAACCUUCCCAAUGGUGCGGAAUAGCCCAGGGAAACUUGGGGUAAUACCGCAUAAGCCCUUAGGGGGAAAGAUUUAGCGCCAUUGGAUGGGCCCACGUCGGAUUAGCUAGUUGGUAGGGUAAUGGCCUACCAAGGCAACGAUCCGUAGCUGGUUUGAGAGAAUGACCAGCCACACUGGGACUGAGACACGGCCCAGACUCCUACGGGAGGCAGCAGUGGGGAAUCUUGGACAAUGGGCGAAAGCCUGAUCCAGCCAUGCCGCGUGAGUGACGAAGGCCUUAGGGUUGUAAAGCUCUUUUGCCGGGGACGAUAAUGACGGUACCCGGAGAAUAAGUCCCGGCUAACUUCGUGCCAGCCGCCGCGGUAACAC
rnacentral:rRNA from 1 species